GGCGCCAAUAGCUUAGUUGGUUAAAGCGCCUGUCUAGUAAACAGGAGAUCCUGAGUUCGAAUUUCAGUGGUGCCU
rnacentral:tRNA from 1 species